rnacentral:sRNA from 1 species
UAUUAUCAAUAUAAACAACAUGCUAACAUUGUAACAUUUACAAGAAGUAGUCUAGAUCUAUUUUGUUUUUAUCAUAAAAUGCAACCAAAAAGGGCUUCUAUUUGGACAAAAGAAACUCCAUUGACCAUUCUCAACCAAGAGAUCUUGUUCAACUUCUGGAUGUUGUGAAAGCAAAAAAAUCUUCUUUUAAUAUAUUGGUAUCAGCAGCUGAGAGUAAAAUUAGUCCUAUGUUUUCUCAUUCUACUAAAGAUUCAAAACCGGUACAUAACUAGUAUGAUCAGCUCAAGUGGACUUAUUGAAUCUCUGUGCAACCCAUAUUCCUCUAGUAGGAAAAUCUUAACUGUAUUCAGUCCAGUGCCUAAUUUAUGUGAAUAAUUAAUGUGGUUAGAAUGGGAAUCAAAUAAAGAUUUGAUCAUAAUA